rnacentral:rRNA from 1 species
AUUGAACGCUGGCAGCAGGCCUAACACAUGCAAGUCGAACGGUAACAGGAAGAAGCUUGCUUCUUUGCUGACGAGUGGCGGACGGGUGAGUAAUGUCUGGGAAACUGCCUGAUGGAGGGGGAUAACUACUGGAAACGGUAGCUAAUACCGCAUAACGUCGCAAGACCAAAGAGGGGGACCUUCGGGCCUCUUGCCAUCGGAUGUGCCCAGAUGGGAUUAGCUAGUAGGUGGGGUAACGGCUCACCUAGGCGACGAUCCCUAGCUGGUCUGAGAGAAUGACCAGCCACACUGGAACUGAGACACGGCCCAGACUCCUACGGGAGGCAGCAGUGGGAAUAUUGCACAAUGGGCGCAAGCCUGA